CAUGUAGCUCAGUCGGUAGAGCACCUCCUUGGUAAGGAGGAGGUCACCGGUUCGAGUCCGGUCGUG
rnacentral:tRNA from 1 species